UUUAUAAUAGUAUAGAACCAUACACUAGAUUUAGGAUCUAGAAACGAGGAAAACCUCUUAUAAAA
rnacentral:tRNA from 1 species